ACUCCUACGGGAGGCAGCAGUAGGGAAUCUUCGGCAAUGGGGGCAACCCUGACCGAGCAACGCCGCGUGAGUGAAGAAGGUUUUCGGAUCGUAAAACUCUGUUGUUAGAGAAGAACGUUAAGUAGAGUGGAAAAUUACUUAAGUGACGGUAUCUAACCAGAAAGGGACGGCUAACUACGUGCCAGCAGCCGCGGUAAUACGUAGGUCCCAAGCGUUGUCCGGAUUUAUUGGGCGUAAAGCGAGCGCAGGUGGUUUCUUAAGUCUGAUGUAAAAGGCAGUGGCUCAACCAUUGUGUGCAUUGGAAACUGGGAGACUUGAGUGCAGGAGAGGAGAGUGGAAUUCCAUGUGUAGCGGUGAAAUGCGUAGAUAUAUGGAGGAACACCGGAGGCGAAAGCGGCUCUCUGGCCUGUAACUGACACUGAGGCUCGAAAGCGUGGGGAGCAAACAGGAUUAGAUACCCUGGUAGCGACUGA
rnacentral:rRNA from 1 species